CUCAAGUGAUCCUCCUGCCUCAGCCUCCCAAAGUGCUGGGAUUAUAGGCCUGAGCCACUGUGCCCAGCAGCCAUGAAUUCUUAUAGUCACAGUAGGACUGACUGUAAGAACUGCAUGUUUUCUAUUCUCUUGUCCAUAAAGAUCAUGGAAAUCUGGAUGUAAAUCUGCCUGAAAUUCUAGUGUCUUGAUACACAGGCCAACCUUGCCCCUGAAUUUCGUGGAGUAAGCACUUCUUACUUACCCACCUUCCUCUCUUGGUCCUGUUUCUCUCUACAGGUUCAGCCAUGAACCAUUCACAUGAGAAAAAGAGCCUCUAAUCCUCACAAAAUCCAUGAAAAGUAGAUGAAAAGUAGAUAUUAUUCCCACAUUAGAAAUGGAAAAACUAAGGCUCAGAGAAGCGAGUAACUAACACAAAAUUUCAUAGCUUCUAAGUAGCAGAUUUGACAGUCACAGUCACAUCUUUCUAAUUUUAUCUGUUCUCUUUAUCUCUGUGGCUCUCCCUAGCCCUCUAAUGCUUCAUAUUGUCAUUUAUAACCAUGUGGCCCUUAAUAAGUGACUUACCCUGUCUCAUCUUUAGAUUGAAAUAUAACAGUCACAUAGGCUCAGUAGAUGUUUAUUUGAAAAUGAAAAUCACUAUAUAGACAUACGUUCUAGUAGGAGCAAUGUUGUGGGCCUGCAAGGGUCUUUCCCUUGACAUUAUUACUGUUUUUAUAUUUAUCUCCUAAAUCUAAGCUCACAGCCGCUGGCUAAGCAUGUGAGUUUAGCUUGUUCUACAGCUAAUACGUGCCUACUAUUGGUAGGUCUUUGCUAUAAAGCAUGUUCCAGUGUAUUGUUGCUUAUCUAUUAUUUUGCUUUCAUACUGUUUUGCUGACAGUAUGAGAGCAUAUUUCCUCUCAUAAUGGUCAGGACUUUUAGUGGGGCUUUCCCGGGAUAUGCUGUUACCAACUCACAGCAUACUCUGGCUCUGAUACUUGCCUCAGAGAAACAGUCAGGCUUGGCAGCACAACCAGCAUGCCAAUAGCCUGCUCCCUGGGGGCGCUGAUAUCACUGCCUCCCAGACACUUUACCUCUCCAGUUGCACCUCAGGCUGCUAACAGGGGAGUCAAAAGCCGAGAGGAGCCAUCAUUCAAAUGUGGGAAAAAUAAUAAAAUCAGUUUCUAGCUCGAUGUGGUUUGGUAAGAUCCACCUAAGAUGCACCUGGAAGGUAAAUUAUUCAGACCUUUCUCCUGCACCACCUUCUUGCUGCCUCCCAUGUCAUCACCACCUCGCCCGUUUUCCUCCUGGUCUCCUGGGCUGGGGAGGGAAGAGCGCUGGUGGUCCUCCAAUAAACCUCUGAAACAUCGGGAAGGUCAAGGCUGUGAUCUGAAGAGGUGUUCUCUGUAACCAAAAAUACGUUUUUUCCCGAAACAGAAAGUUGAAAUAAAAGGAGAUUUUUAACUCUUCUAAUAAUUGUCAUGCCAUAUAAAGAAAAAUAUUAGGGGCCUUACAUUUCAUUUCCCAUUUGCAUGUGGUUGCUCUAUAACACUGUAUCUUCUACUUUAGUAAGUAAACUGGAGGGAGAAUUUCAAAGAAUAAUAACGAUUACAGAGGGCAGCAAUAGACGAGAGACCAGAGGUUCUACAUAGUCUAGAACGGGGGAUAGGACACUUUUUCCAUAAAGGACCAGAGAGCGAUAUUUGGUUUUCUGGGUCCUUCCAUCUCUGUUGAAUAUUACUAUUUGUUUUGAUUUACAAUUCUUUGAGAAUGUAAAAAACAUUUUCAGCUUGGGGUCCAUACCAAAAUGCAUUGCAGGCUGAAUUUUGCUUGUAGUUUGCCAAGGCAAACUCUAGAAGCUCAUUCUCAAUUUUGCUACCACAAAAUACCGUUUUAAAUAAGAGAGAUGUAAUAUGGUUAGUUUUGAGAGGAAGCAAUGAGCAGAAAUAUUAGGACCAAGCAUGAAUAAUUAGGUAAGAAUUUCUAGAAGACAAAAUGAAAGGGAGGACAGAGAUUGUGAGGGAAAAAUUGAAAGGAGUUAGGGGUGUGAGAAAGAGACAGAUACGGGAUGAGGAUGGAACACAGCGUCUUGAGCAAAAUAGAGAUUCUGGGAAAAUGGAGUAAAUGAGGUAGAUUUUCUCCUACGCAUAGUUAGUGGCAAAUGUACAUCACCCCUGCUGCGUAAUAGAGUGAAUUUGCAUAGGUAUUUGAGAAGAAAUCUAUUCUUACCUUAUUUGUAACUACAGUUUUCUUUUGACUAUAUGUGUGGCAGGUCUUUACUUGCUUUCCUGCGACCUUCCAACACUGGUUUAGCACUUGUUCAGUUAGCUCUUGUGAUUUAAAAAGAAUGGACAGCAUGAAGCAUCCGCUUGUUGCAGGCUGGCGAGGAUGGGUGGAUGGGAGGGAAUAAUGGACAGCAAUAAAUCUGGGCAGCUUUCUAUGGAUUGUGAAGCAAAUGCAUUAAUAUCAGCCAUCUAACUUUUGCCAAACUAUGAAUCUUUUUUUCCCAGAUAAUUGGCCAUCAGAAAACAUUUAAAGAUGAAGAAAGAAGAAAAUCUGAACACAGACUGAGAGGUAAUCGAGAAAACAAGGAAAUGAAUCUCAAACCUAAGGUUGGAAAACAGAACAAUAGGGUACUUUUAGCUUGAAGUAAUUUAAAAGACAGACUUCUAAAUGCCCUAGAAAUACUGCAUAUUACAAGAAAGGACCAAUGUCCCUUGGAAUUGUGACCAGGCACUGAAUUACAAGUCAAGAUCUCUUGGCUUCAGUCGUUAGCCUACUCUUUACAUGUCUUGUGACUUUAGGAAAGUAAUUUAGCUUACCCAAGUCUCAGUCUUCUCAUGCAUAGUAUGUUGUUUUCAUAAUGGUGUUUUUACUUGUAUGUAGAAAUUAAAGGGCUUCUAAGCUAUAAAUGGCUAUGAUAAUGGCAGAGAUUUUAUUAGUCUUAGUAUUUCAUUUGCGGGUUGAUUUUACUCCUGCAUAAUAGGAAGCUACCUGUGUACAGUGACUUGAGGGGUUUCCAAAGGAUUCUCUACUUGUCAAAUUUCUCCUGAAUUAGACUAUGAUGAAAUGACUAAAUCAUUUUCAUGAAGACCAAAGUUUUAUAGCCUUAGGCUAAUUGAUUUAGGAACAUUAAGAUGCGAAUGUUAUCAAAAACAGGGCUCAACUCAACUGUGGGCAUGUAAGCUCUUGACUAACUGGUCAUCUAGCAAUGUCUGGAGAGAAUGGGUCAGAAUUGCCAGUAAAUAGGGUGGCCCAAGGAACUUGGAGUCACCAUGAAAAAUGUAAAUGCUUAUCAAGAGAACACCUGAGAGGAGCAAGGCACAAAGAGGAGAGGAGAGGCCUUCUGCAGGUGACUUCACAAUUUUGACUCAGGCUGAUUGGUUCAGCCGAGAACCAAGGUUUCUAAGAGAUGGCAGCCUUUGACCCUUGUUCCUUUCUAUUCCUUCUCUGUGCCAUUUUUUUUUUUUUUCUGCACAAAUGGCUCUUAGGACUGUGUCCCGAGUAAUCCUCCAGGGAUGAUUGUGGUCUGGACAGCUAACUUUAUACUAGCAAGUCAUGCUUCCCAUCCAGGGGCCACUUCUUUCAGACUCCCUUGCUUCUAGUUGGAAAUGGAAGCCAAUGGCAUGGGCAUGGCUGUGACACAUCUUUUAUAGCCUGGGAUGGUUAAAAAGCAGAUGCUCUUUUUCCGCUCUCUUUUUUUUUUUUUUUUUUUUUUUGUCAGCUUACUGGAUAUUUGAUGCCAGUGGCGAUGUUGGCAAACAAAUCUUGAAGAUAGACGGCCAGACAAAUGGAUGGAAACCGUGUCUGAGUCACUGCUUGGAAGAGAGCCACCAAACCAAGAGUGCUUACAUUCGACUGGAAUCAUGGGAGUAACCAAGGAGCUAGGUGGAAAUCAAGGACAGGUGUUUGCAGGCUUAAACUCCUGUGCUGGAAGUGGAAAAGGUAUAAACAGUAAAGACUUUAAGUUUCAGUGACAUGAUUUUAAAUCAAGAGCCAAGACAAAGGGUGCUUUCUCACCACUUUGCAUCCAUAGGAUCAGUUUCUUGUUUAUUUCUGACUUUCCAAUUGGCAGAGUGCCCUUGAAAUGUCAGCUUUGUCAGUGGAGCACGCUGAGUCAUUACUAGGUCUAUAACAUCGGCACAGGAUGCUCAGGGAGUUGCUUCUACCUAAAAACCAGGCUGUGUGCUGGGAGCCUAGGUAUAGAUACUUGGAUAGGAGAGAAAACUGAAAGUAUAGGUGCUGAAGAAAGUCAAAAUUACACACACAAAAUAAAAAAACCAAGAACCAAAAACUUAGAAAACACAAACACCAACAACAAAAAUGCUACAAAAACACAUCAAACUCGUCUCUGAGAUCUUAUAAUUUUCCAUUUAUAUAAAUUGUCUUCACAGGUACACUCACAACAUGAUCAAGUAGUGAUUGUACCUAAAACAAUUGUCACACUGUGUUAUUUGAGCAGUAGUAUUGGAUAAUGGCUUCUAAAUGAAGAUUACUCCACAGUUACCUAGGGAUUAAGUGGCUUAACUGGAAUUGAAACAUGGUUUUUCAGGGCUCCCUCAAUGGUUUCCAUCACCAGUUUAUACAGGCAAUAGAGAAUUCAUUUGUCUUGAAUAAUUCUUUAGCUUUCCACAGCCAAAUAUCUUGCUCCUGGGGAAAGAGCUUGCAAUAAUGUGUUGGAUUCUGGCUGAGAAUCUCUGGGUUUGAAUCUUGGCUCUGCCACUUACAAUCUUUAGGAGAAGGGGUAAGUCACAACAUUUCUCUAUGCCUCAGUUUCUUUAUUGGUAAAAUAAGAACAAUCAUAGGGCUUACUACAUAGAUUUACCAAAGAAAUUAAAUGACCUAAUAGAUGUAAAUUAUAGGAACAGAAACUGCUAAAUAAAAAUCAGUUGUUGCUAGUGUUGUUUUUCUGUUGUGGGGUAAAUGCAUUUCCUUCUGUUUGACUGCAACACAGUUGUACAUGCCUUCUGACACAAGUUCCUUCAGCCUUCUAUAGAAUGUAUUUACAGCACUGGAUGUCCAUAACCAGCCCUUCUUUCCAACAGUCAUAGCUGGGCUCCAGCCUUUUCUGUGGAGCUGUACUUCUUUCUCCUUCUCCAUUUCUCCAUUGAUUCUUAUCUUCCCUGCAAUUGAGUGCUUCCCCCUCAGUGGCAGGUUUACACGUGCUAAUCCAAUCUUUUAGCUCUGGUUCAAGGGUCAUAAUGAUGAAGGAUUUUCAUCAAUUGGAAUAAGAAUACUUAAUGCUUAACAUUUUUCACAGCCAGCUCUGUGGCAGAGAGGACAGUUUAGGAG